GCUCCAAGAGUAUACACCUACAUUGCUGCAGUUAAAACGCUCGUAGUCUAUAUGAAGACCAUUAUUAUGGGCUGUGUAGCUGUGUAACAGGGCUUUUAGUCUUCUACAUUGCGCUACCAAUAUAAUGGAGUGCAUUGUCAGAACAUCACAGUACCGUAUUAAUAGGCAAUUUCGAUCGUGAACAAAACAGCAUGACCAAA
rnacentral:rRNA from 1 species